CCCUUAGAUGUUCUGGGCCGCACACGCGCUACACUGAAGGAGGCAGCGUGUACUCCUGGAUCGAAAGAUUUGGGUAACCCGCGAAUCUCCUUCGUGCUAGGGAUUGAGGUUUGCAAUUAUCCUUCAUGAACGAGGAAUUCCCAGUAAGUGCAAGUCAUAAGCUUGCGCUGACUACGUCCCUGUCCUUUGUACACACCGCCCGUCGCUACUACCGAUUGAAUGAUUUAGUGAGGACUUCGGACUGGGACCGAUGCGGCUUUCGGGCUGCGUCGGUAUUCUGGAAAGAUGUCCAAACUGUAUCAUUUAGAGGAAGUAAAAGUCGUANCA
rnacentral:rRNA from 1 species